UAGUUUAUACAUCUUAGAUCAGUGGUUCUUAACCUUUUUUGAGGUACCAAAUCCAUCAGUUUCAUAUGUGCAGUCACCGAACCCUUCUUUAGUGAUAAAUAAAAUAAAUAUUUUUUUUCCAAAUUCAAGACAUAGGUAUAUGUUUUUUUGCUGGUGCACAAAAUGAGCCGUGCA